rnacentral:rRNA from 1 species
UACAGAGGGUGCGAGCGUUAAUCGGAAUUACUGGGCGUAAAGCGUGCGUAGACGGUUAUGUAAGUCGGGUGUGAAAGCCCCGGGCUCAACCUGGGAAUUGCAUUCGAGACUGAAUAGCUAGGGUACGGUAGAGGGAAGCGGAAUUUCCGGUGUAGCGGUGAAAUGCGUAGAUAUCGGAAGGAACAUCAGUGGCGAAAGCGGCUUCCUGGACCAGUACCGACGUUCAGGCACGAAAGCGUGGGGAGCAAACGGG